rnacentral:rRNA from 1 species
ACCGCUCAGUAACACGUGGACAACCUACCCUUAGGACCGGGAUAACCCCGGGAAACUGGGGACAAUCCCGGAUAGGUGAAGUGGCCUGGAAUGGUGCUUCACUGAAAGGCUCUUCGGAGCGCCUAAGGAUGGGUCUGCGGCCGAUUAGGUAGUUGGUAGGGUAACGGCCUACCAAGCCGAUAAUCGGUACGGGUUGUGAGAGCAAGAGCCCGGAGAUGGAACCUGAGACAAGGUUCCAGGUCCUACGGGGCGCAGCAGGCGCGAAACCUCCGCAAUGCACGCAAGUGCGACGGGGGGACCCCAAGUGCCACUCUUAACGGGGUGGCUUUUCAGGAGUGUAAAAAGCUCCUGGAAUAAGGGCUGGGCAAGACCGGUGCCAGCCGCCGCGGUAACACCGGCAGCUCGAGUGGUAGCCGCGUUUAUUGGGCCUAAAGCGUCCGUAGCCGGUCCGAUAAGUCUCUGGUGAAAGCCCACAGCUCAACUGUGGGAAUCGCUGGAGAUACUAUCGGACUUGAGGCCGGGAGAGGCUGGAGGUACUCCCAGGGUAGGGGUGAAAUCCUAUAAUCCUGGGAGGACCACCUGUGGCGAAGGCGUCCAGCUGGAACGGACCUGACGGUGAGGGACGAAAGCCAGGGGCGCGAACCGGAUUAGAUACCCGGGUAGUCCUGGCCGUAAACGAUGCGGACUUGGUGUUGGGACGGCUUUGAGCUGUCCCAGUGCCGAAGGGAAGCUGUUAAGUCCGCCGCCUGGGAAGUACGGCCGCAAGGCUGAAACUUAAAGGAAUUGGCGGGGGAGCAC